rnacentral:rRNA from 1 species
CGACGCCACGUGAGGGAUGACGGCCUUCGGGUUGUAAACCUCUUUCAGCAGGGAAGAAGCGCAAGUGACGGUACCUGCAGAAGAAGCGCCGGCUAACUACGUGCCAGCAGCCGCGGUAAUACGUAGGGCGCAAGCGUUGUCCGGAAUUAUUGGGCGUAAAGAGCUCGUAGGCGGUCUGUCGCGUCUGGUGUGAAAUCCCAUGGCUCAACUGUGGGCUUGCAUCGGGUACGGGCAGACUAGAGUGCUGUAGGGGAGACUGGAAUUCCUGGUGUAGCGGUGGAAUGCGCAGAUAUCAGGAGGAACACCGAUGGCGAAGGCAGGUCUCUGGGCAGUUACUGACGCUGAGGAGCGAAAGCAUGGGGAGCGAACAGGAUUAGAUACCCUGGUAGUCCAUGCCGUAAACGUUGGGCACUAGGUGUGGGGCGGGUUCCACUCGUUCUGUGCCGUAGCUAACGCAUUAAGUGCCCCGCCUGGGGAGUACGGCCGCAAGGCUAAAACUCAAAGGAAUUGACGGGGGCCCGCACAAGCGGCGGAGCAUGCGGAUUAAUUCGAUGCAACGCGAAGAACCUUACCAAGGCUUGACAUGUACGAGAAAGCCCCAGAGAUGGGGUUCUCUUUGGACACUCGUACACAGGUGGUGCAUGGUUGUCGUCAGCUCGUGUCGUGAGAUGUUGGGUUAAGUCCCGCAACGAGCGCAACCCUUAUCCUAUGUUGCCAGCGGGUUAUGCCGGGGACUCAUGGGAGACUGCCGGGGUCAACUCGGAGGAAGGUGGGGAUGACGUCAAAUCAUCAUGCCCCUUAUGUCUUGGGC